UGGUAGAUUUUAAUGAGCUUGUUUUGGUUUUGUUUUUACUACGGUGCUGAUGUAUAUGUAAUGUCUAAAAAAAAAAAGCUAUUUGUAAAUAAGUUUUUACAAUGCUACAGAUAUCACUGGGUCUACUAUAUGUAAAAAGUAUACAUAUAAAAAUAUAUAUAUAUAAUGUUUGUUUAAAAUAGAGUAUUUUUAUUUCCUCCCUAACUCAUCAUUGAAGAGGUGAUAUUACACUUCAGAUGACAUCUAAUCACUGAUUUCUACUGUAUGACGUAUGGCAACUUCUCCGUUUUAUUCAGAUUUUUCUAUUUUGUUCUUACUUUGUACGUCAAGCAUUGCUUAUUUCCUUUAUGGGAUGUACACGACUCUGAUCUGUAGAAGCGAAGCAAUGUUGACAUACCGCUUUUAAAGGAAAAAAAAAAAAACAGCAACCAACCAAUAAAAUGUCACUAUCUGAAUCAAUCCAAAGCCCAGUUCGCUUUUAGGGUCCUCUCUGUGUCCCAGUGUCAGUCAUUUAGGCAGAUGUAUCAUGCCUGGCUUCUAAGGGACUGACUGCAGAUUCCUUUCUCAGAACUGUGGUGUUAUUCAAACGAGUACUUAACAGUAGAAAUCAAUCACUCUCAGCCUUUCUCAUUCAACCACACAACAGAGAUUUUCUAAAUUUACUGGAGCACCCUGAGGGAUGCCGUGAAAGGGAGGGAGAAGGUCCAUCGUAGUCUGUUUAUUGAUCCAGAGCCAGAACCAUUCAAAACUGGCUCAGCCAGAGAGUUCAGAAAAUGGCAGGGCCAGAGAGAUGGCUCAUCUGGUAAAGGGGCUUGCCGCCAAGCCUGCUAACUCGAGUUCAAUCCCUGGAACCAACAUGGUGGAAGGAGAGAACUUACUUGAAGAAGUUGUCCUUUGACCUUUAUAUGAGCCCCAUGGUUCACGUGCGCACACACACACACACACACACACACACACACACACACACAUAAAUGUAUACAAAUAUAUUGAAGAGAAAAUAGGUAUUGAAAAUUUGAUGGAUAAAAAAUUUAGGAGUGUAUUAGGAAGAAACCAUAGCAGUCUUGCCAUGGAGGUGGGCACUUUGACAACCCCCCUUCCUGGUGUUCCUUGCUUCUCCAUCAAAGCAGGGCCUGACCCAGCUUUUCCUGCAACCACCUGAGCUGAAAAUGCUUCUCGUUUAUACUCCUCUGCUAACUCUAGCCAAUAACUCACGGCUGCAGGAUCAUAACAGGCCAGUUAACUUGUCUGGACAAACUCUGGGCUUGAAUGAUGCUCCAAGCUGGCGGCAGGAUCAGGCAGAGGCUGGGGCUUGGCUCGCACUUGCCCCUCCGCUUGGUUUCUCCUCAUUCUCCAUCUGCUGCCCGGCUCUUUUUUUCCUCCUCCUUCAAGCCCUUUAUUAAUAAACCCAUACAUGGGAAUUCAUUUCUCCACUUUCAAAAGACCUGCCCUAAGACACCCCAGUAAACUUAAAACACAGUAAAAUAACACAUUUCAAAACUCAAGAGUGACACAGGGAAAUAGAUCACAGAAGAAGUCAUCAAUAGAAACGGUUCUAAAACAAAGGUGAGUUUUAAUAUACAUAAGCCAAGAGAAAGAAUGAAUUUGACCGUGAAAGAAGAGGCUAGCCCUACCCAAAGCAGGCUAUGCUUCCAGGUUGGCUGACAGUGGGCUAGCCUCUACUCAAGCUCCAGCUUUACCAGAUAGCAGGAUGGUAAACAUGAGUCCGUUUUGGUCCGAGGGAGAAUGAGAGAGAGAAGUAACUACAGGGUUUUAAAGAGUAAUGACUCCUCUCUUUAAAACUUAUACUAAAAUCUGUUGGGCACUGGAUGAGUGGAAUACCUUUCUUCUUAAAAAAAUAAAUCUAUAAUUUUAUUAAG
rnacentral:lncRNA from 1 species